CCUUUUGUCCUUUUCCUUUCUUUUGAAUUCCUUUCAAGCACUUGGUACCUUGCCUUCAAUCUGAACCAACAUCUAACAUUGUUUGACUUUUAUUAGUUGAAUCACCCGCAUAGCUGAUGCAAACCAAGAGGUUGCCAAAAUUGAAUUUUCAAGUUUACUUUUGUUUAAAGGUAAAACUAGGUUCAAUUUAUCAAUUUCGAUGAACUUUAAGCAAGGAAGUAAAAAUUUCAGCAAGACAAAUUAGAAUCGAAUCGAAGUAAUACUAAGAUGAUGAUAAACCUUCAAUAUAUGAGAUAAUAACAACCAACUGAAAAUACAUAUACUAGUUCCAAAAGGUAAAUUCGGCUUUAUCGGACUUAAAGCUUUAGGUUUGGUUGUUUGGCAAAUAUGGUUGGUAAUGGUGGAAGGCUAGAUUAAAAGGGGAUAAUAAGAUAUCAAGAGAUAGGAGAUACAAAAAGUGCACCGUUCACACGAUUGCGGGGGAUCCACGAUCGACGAGGAGGGCGGUACACCACGGGUAGAACUUCGGCAACGGGGAAGAAGACGAUGAGGCAGUGACUCGGAAGAAGAGGAGGGGUAGAAGUAGAAGCCGAUCUUGCCACGAGGAAGAAGUGACAACAAUCAAGUUGAGGAAGAAGACGAUCUCGGCGCGAGGAAGAAGCGUCGAUGAUCACACCGGGAAGUAGAACACCAAGGAUAAAGAGUGAGAGUAGAAUUUUCUAUUCAUCCAAAUAUAUCCCCUUAAGGUCUCAAGAACCAUGUAUUUAUAGUGUUGAGAGUCCUAUGAUAAUAAAUUAUUGCCUUUUCGUUUUCAACACAACACGGUCACCCAAGAGUCAUGCAUUGAAAACGAAGCAAAUUUGGGAAUUUCAAAGGUCUUUGUUUUUGGGGAAUUCCAAAGGUCUUCUUGGGAUUGUUUUUUUUUUUUUUUUUUAUGGGAGAAAAGGGUUUGGGUUAGCCAAAUCAACUAAAACCAAAUGAUUUAAGUCCGAAUCAAACACGAACCUACAAAAUAAAAGAAAAUUGCAUUUGAAAAUAAAAAGAGAUUUAUUUGCUGCAUCAGUUCCCCUCGAGUUGGGGAAAUCUCGACUCCGUCGAGAUGGCAUCUUGAUAUCUCUGGUACAAGUCCUCUCGAAGUUGGCGCAACUCCGCCUCAGAAACCCAACUGCUAUCGGACAAUGGUCGUCCACGCCAACGCACCAAGUAUCGGCGAUGAGUACCACGUCGCGUCACUGACUCGCGCACAUCCAGAAUAUCCUCCACACCAUCUGAUGGAGUUUCAAUGUCGGAGCGAGAUGUCAAGCCAUCAAUAUCGACAGUAGAGGGGACCUCUCCAUGGUACUCGUAUAGCUCGCUGACAUUGAAGAUCGGGGACGUCGAUACUUCCGGAGGUAGAUCAAUUAGAUAAGCAUUUUCCCCUAACUUCUUCAGAAUUUUGAAUGGUCCGUACUUUUUCCUGUUCAACUUGCUAUAGCCUCCAGCUGGGAACCUUUCUUUCCUAAAAUAGAUCAAGACAUUAUCUCCUUCAUUAAAAGUCAUACCUCGGCGAUGUUUAUCCGCUGACUCCUUGUACUUGACAGUGGAAUCCCGCAACCUCUGAUGAACCUGUUGUUGCACCUCUUGAAUCUGUUUUAGGUAAUAGUCGGCAUCUGCACUAACUCUACCAGGGUAAGGUAUUGGUGCUCGGUCAAGAAAGUGGGCAAUAGGACGGCCAUAUAAAGCUUCAAAAGGAGAUUUUUCAAUGGUUCGGUUUGUGGAACUGUUAUAAGCAAAUUCAGCUUGAGGUAAAAUUAAAUCCCAUUGUGUUGGUUUUUCUCCAGCUAAACAUCUUAAGAGAUUACCCAAAGAUCGAUUUACUAUUUCCGUCUGCCCGUCAGUUUGUGGAUGGUAUGGGCUGCUGAAAUUCAGUUUGCUUCCUGCCUUUGACAUUAAAGUUCUCCAAAAAUGACUAACAAAUUUUGUAUCUCGAUCAGAGGUAAUUGAUUUAGGAAUGCCAUGUAAACGUACAAUUUCAUUGAAAAAUAAUUUUGCAAUAUGUGAUGCAUCAGAAGUUUUCUUGCAAGGAAUAAAAUGAGCCAUUUUCGUAAAACGAUCAACAACCACAAAAACUGAAUCAACUUGGCGUGCAGUCUUGGGUAGGCCUAGGACAAAGUCCAUGCUAAUAUCCUCCCAGGGCACAGUGGGAAUGGGUAGGGGAGUAUACAAGCCAGUAUUUUGAGUUUGUCCUUUAAAUGAUUGACAAGUCUUACACCGCUGAAUAAACCUUUCAACGUCCUUACUCACGUUAGGCCAAUAAUACCUCUCUUGAACUAAUCCCAAAGUUUUGUCUCUCCCGAAAUGUCCCCCUAGCCCGCUACUAUGCAAGUUCUGAAUCAAGGACUCUCUUAACGAUCCCUGGGGAAUGCACAACUUGGACUUUCUAAAAAGAUACCCGCCGUCCAAACAAUAAUCAGAAGGUGAAUCAUUGUCAGGAGAUAGGCACUUUUUUAGGAUAGGACCGAAAUUAGGGUCAUUUUGAUAUUGGUCCUUAACUAUCUCAAAUCCUACUAUCUGUAAGGAAGAAGUGAUAAGCAAAUGGUUUCGACGACUGAGUGCAUCAGCGACUCGAUUAGCAAUGCCUUGUUUAUGCCGCAAGUGAAAAGUGUAUUCUUGCAGGAAUGCAGACCACUUGGCAUGCCUUUUGUUCAAGUUUUUUUGAGAAUUUAAAUAUCGCAAUGCUUCAUGAUCCGAAUUAAGAAUAAACUCUCGAUGAAUCAAGUAGGGUCGCCAAUGUUUCAAAGCCUGCACGAUCGCGUAAAAUUCAAGAUCAUAAGUGGAGUAACGUGCUCGUGCAUCGUUCAAUUUUUCACUAAAGAAGGCUAUAGGACGUUUCUCUUGAGACAGUACGCCUCCAAUUCCGAUAUGUGAGGCAUCACAAUCAAUCUCAAACACCUUUUCGAAGUCGGGCAAGGCAAGUACUGGAGCCUUUGUAAGUUUGUCCUUAACCAAUUGAAAACUUUUUUCAGCUUCAGAUGUCCAAGUAAAUUUACCCCCUUUUAGGCAAUCAGUUAUUGGCGCAAUUAAUGAACUGAAAUUUCGAAUGAAACGCCGAUAAAACGACGCAAGUCCGUGGAAACUUCGGAUUUCAGUUAUAGUCUUUGGGGUUGGCCAAUUCUGAAUUGCUUCUAUCUUAACAGGAUCUACCUUAAUUCCCUCGGUGGACACCACAUAGCCUAAGAAGGUAAGGCUAUCGGUCAGAAAUGUACACUUCUUAAGAUUCAGAUGUAAGCUGUUAUCUCUUAAAGUUUGAAGCACUUGUCUUAAAUGAUCCAUAUGAGUUUCAGGACUCGUGCUAUAAAUCAGAAUGUCGUCGAAGUAAACUACGACAAAUUUUCCAAUGAAUGGUCGCAAGACUUGGUUCAUAGAGCGCAUGAAAGUACUAGGGGCAUUGGAUAGCCCAAACGGCAUAACCAACCACUCGUAUAAUCCUUCUUUAGUUUUAAACGCCGUUUUCCAUUCAUCUCCAGGUCGAAUACGGAUUUGAUGAUAUCCGCUCUUAAGGUCAAUCUUAGAGAAUAUCUUCGCACCUCCUAACAUGUCAAGCAUAUCAUCAAUCCUAGGAAUGGGAAACCUAUACUUGAUGGUAAUUUUGUUAACUGCACGACUGUCAACACACAUUCGCCAUGUUCCAUCCUUUUUUGGUGUAAGGAGGGCAGGCACCGCGACAGGGCUCAUACUUUCUCUAAUGUAACCUUUUUGCAGAAGUUCAAAAACCUGCCUAUAUAACUCUUCAUGCUCAGCGGGACUCAUCCUGUAAUGGGCUAGGUGUGGAAGACUAGCACCGGGUACAAAAUCAAUGCAGUGUUGGAUGUCUCUCAUAGGUGGAAGGCCAUCGGGGAGUUCCUCAGGCAUGAUAUCAGAAAAUUCAUUAAGCAAUGGUUGAACAACUUGAGGAACUUCAGUGUUCUUCGAUAUUUCUUUUGCCAAAAGAAUAUAUACCACUGGAGACUUUGCUAGAUCUUUAGAGAAUUGGCUUUUGUUCAAAACCAUCAUUUUCUGCUCAUUAUUGGAGGGUUGCUUUUGGGACUCAAUUGGCUUAGACUUUGGUUUGGGAAAGUAAUUUAGGGGAACCAAUCUAACUUUCUUGUUGUCCUUUGUGACAAUGUAAGUGUUCUCCCUACCAUCAUGUAUAGUGCUACGAUCAAAUUGCCAAGGUCUACCUAACAAUAGGUGACUCACAUCCAUGGGAACAACAUCACACCAAACUUUAUCAGCAUAAGUUUUCCCAAUAGAAAAUUCAACAAGACAUCUUUCAGUUACAGGAAAUUCAUCCCCAUCCUUAAACCAAGCUAUUUUGUAAGUUUGAGCAAGUUUUUCAGUUUUCAGUUUAAGCUUAUCAACCAUUUCUCUAGAGACAAAGUUUUCAGUACUUCCACUAUCAAUGACUAGAGAGCAAAACUUGCCUCCCGCGCUACAAAUGGUUCUGAAAAGGCUACGACGCUUCCAAUCAUCUUGGGUGGACUUAGAGGCUGAUAGGACUCGAUGGAUCAUGAGAUUUGUUUCAGUAGCAUCAGGAGAUUCUUCGGAAAUCUCAUCAACAUCUUCUUGUUCUAAAGUUUCUUCCCCAUUUUCAUUCUCUUCAUGACUUUCUAUUAGAUUGGCUCUAGAAUCAAAUUUUCUCAGAGGGCAAUCAGAGGAUUUAUGUCCAGGUUUGUUACAUUUAUAACAAAUGAUGCCAGAUUCAACGGGUUUUGCACCUAAAAUUCCUUUGCCCUUAAGGUCUUGAACAAGUCUUGAAGAGGUUUGACUAUCGUUCUUUGGGAUAGGCUUAGUUCCUAUGGUGUUCUUUACGCUCGCACUUCCCUGACGAAAGGUUUGUCUUUUAAGUUUAUUUUCAGCCUUAAGUGCAUGACUAUAAGCCAUGUCGACCUUGUAGAAAGUUAAAAGGGCUAACUCAUCUUGGAUUUGGGUUCGAAGACCGGCUAGAUAGCGAGCUACUCGCUGUUCUUCGUCCUCUUUAAGUUCAUUACGAGCUUGAAGGGUGUAAAAUUCUUCAGUAUAUUCUUGUACCGAUUUAGAUCCUUGUUUAAGAUUGUGUAAUUUUUGAAAAAUAGUUUGACGAUAAUCAAUCGGUAAGAAUUUUCCUUUUUCUUUCAUUUUUUCCCACGAGAUAAUCUUUUCUUUACCCUUUCUAACCCUAUCGUUUUGAACUUGUUUCCACCACACUAAGGCAUGACCUUUCAAUUUAAGGGAGACAAAUUUAACUUUUUUGUCAUCAGGUAAUUCUUUCCAUUCAAAAAAUUGUUCUAUUUUGUCUAGCCAAUCCACAAAAUCUUCAGGUUGUAAUUUACCCUCGAACUCACUCACGUCCACUUUAAUGCCCUGAUCCCAUCUAUGUAUAUUUCCUUGAUUUUGAAGAAGAGGAUUUCUUCUAACAGGUACAGUACGAUUGUCAAAAUCAGGGUCACUUUCCGAAUCUUCUCCAACUGCAGUUUGUUGUUGCAUACUUAAUCUUUCCAAUAGUUGUUGAAUGUUAUUCAUUUGAUUUUGCAUGCGUUUCAUGGAAUCUUGUUGUUUCUCAUAUGCUUCUCUCCAAUCACGAGGAUUUUCACUACUGCCAGCCAUUUCCAAAUGCUAACAAGUUGAUCAAAAAGUGAUGCCCUUUUUUUUUUGAAAUAUUUUGGCCCAAAGUUGAAUACUAAGAAAAAGUUGUUUAGAUCAAAACAAACGCUCCCACGAAAAGAACUUGCUCUGAUACCAAUUGAUGCAAACCGAGAGGUUGCCAAAAUUGAAUUUUCAAGUUUACUUUUGUUUAAAGGUAAAACUAGGUUCAAUUUAUCAAUUUCGAUGAACUUUAAGCAAGGAAGUAAAAAUUUCAGCAAGACAAAUUAGAAUCGAAUCGAAGUAAUACUAAGAUGAUGAUAAACCUUCAAUAUAUGAGAUAAUAACAACCAACUGAAAAUACAUAUACUAGUUCCAAAAGGUAAAUUCGGCUUUAUCGGACUUAAAGCUUUAGGUUUGGUUGUUUGGCAAAUAUGGUUGGUAAUGGUGGAAGGCUAGAUUAAAAGGGGAUAAUAGGAUAUCAAGAGAUAGGAGAUACAAAAAGUGCACCGUUCACACGAUUGCGGGGGAUCCACGAUCGACGAGGAGGGCGGUACACCACGGGUAGAACUUCGGCAACGGGGAAGAAGACGAUGAGGCAGUGACUCGGAAGAAGAGGAGGGGUAGAAGUAGAAGCCGAUCUUGCCACGAGGAAGAAGUGACAACAAUCAAGUUGAGGAAGAAGACGAUCUCGGCGCGAGGAAGAAGCGUCGAUGAUCACACCGGGAAGUAGAACACCAAGGAUAAAGAGUGAGAGUAGAAUUUUUCUAUUCAUCCAAAUAUAUCCCCUUAAGGUCUCAAGAACCAUGUAUUUAUAGUGUUGAGAGUCCUAUGAUAAUAAAUUAUUGCCUUUUCGUUUUCAACACAACACGGUCACCCAAGAGUCAUGCAUUGAAAACGAAGCAAAUUUGGGAAUUUCAAAGGUCUUUGUUUUUGGGGAAUUCCAAAGGUCUUCUUGGGAUUGUUUUUUUUUUUUUUGUUUAUGGGAGAAAAGGGUUUGGGUUAGCCAAAUCAACUAAAACCAAAUGAUUUAAGUCCGAAUCAAACACGAACCUACAAAAUAAAAGAAAAUUGCAUUAGAAAAUAAAAGGAGAUUUAUUUGCUGCAUCAAUAGCCUAUAUCUUGACACUGUUAAGCAUAUUCAUAGCUUUGCACUGGGUUCAGAAAGUUGACAUAUAAGAUUCAACUUCAAAAUGCUACAGAAGGUUUUAAUAAGGAUCAAUAGGAUUUAGCUUGUCAUCUGUAACACUGCUUGCAAAAUUAUAUUGGUUAUAGUAAGUUAUUAUAGUGUAUUUGAUUGAUAUCAUAUGGUUAUGCCUAAUACUUAGCACUACAUGCAAAUGUUUCCUAAGACAAUGUGCUGGCAGAAGAAGAGUUUUUCUACUCAACCAUUACAUUAACUACCUUAAUCUAGUUAGUAAAAGAAAUAAUAAAACCUCGUUGUAAUCCUAUUCCACAAUCUGCACCUAGUAAAGCCCUCUAUACUUUACUCUCUAGUAAAAAAAUCUUGACUUUUUUUGAGUUGAUUACUGCAUAUCCGAACAAUCUUCUAAAGUCACAUUUUAUCCUACAAACUUUAAAAUAACCAAUAAUAUCCUCCCAAACUUCCAAAGACUAACAAAUAUGUCCCUGCCAUUAGCAGAUGUCAAAAGUUGUUCAACAAACUGUGAGUUAAGCAUAUGUUGGUUUCGAUUUAACCUUUAGAACAAACUGUGAGUUAAGCAUAUGUUGGUUUCGAUUUAACCUUUAGUUAAAAUUCUAAAGGAUGAUUUUGCGCCUCCUACCCUUUCCUCUAACUUGCAACAGAGACCAAGUAGCAGCUGCUCCUGAUGGGGAAAAUAAAACAAAAUUUCCAAAGACGAUUUAUGGAAAAACUCAUAGCAUCAUCUACAUGGGCCAAAGUAACAAGAAAAUGGCAUCUGCAACACAAUCUUGAAUCAAACAUGCAGUGCUUCAUGCAUCAAGAUGAAAAUUUCUAGGUAGAAGCAGUGGCACCAUCAGCUCAAGAAGCAUGGUGGUGCAAUUCAUUUGUGGAUCCCGGUCGAUGCUUCCACCAAAGCAUUCAAGGCAGGGAUGGGUUAGUUGAUUGCCUCGAUCCUACUCCUCUAGGGGGUAGUUUUGCAUUUAAAAGUAAAAUUUUAAAUGCAUUAUUUUUUACUAUUGUGCCUAUCAAAUUCAUUAUUUUUUACUAACGCCCGUGUUACUGUGAUUUCCUACUUUAAAAUACAAAACAUAAAAUUAAUAAGGUCCAUUUUGCAGCCAGACUGCAAGUCUCAUGUAAUUCUAGAGUAUAGAAUAGAUGGAUGGGUGUAAAUAGAUUUCUAACAAUCUAGGCGUCAUUGACAUGGAUAUGAGACACGGAACACGAUACGACUCGAAGAUGGCGACUUGGAAGCUUCCAAAAAAUUUAGGACACGGUCACAGCAUGGAUACCGCUAAUAUAAUAUAAUAUUAUUAACAUAAUAAUAUAUAUUUAUCAUAUCAUAUAUAAAAUAUUAAUUUUGCUAAAAUAUUGUUAUAUUUCUCAUACAAAUUAAAGUUAAUAAAAUUCUCAUUUCUAAUUUGUAUAUUUUAAGGAAAGAAAUUUCCACCAUACAUAAUUUAUUUACAUUGUCCAAGAAAAAUUUGUAUACAUUCACCAAAAGGCUAAGAUAUUUGUCAUAUUACAUUAUAUAUGCAUAAAACAAUAAAUAUAUAUAUUUCUCAAUGGGAUGCGUCAUAGACCCGCGUCAAACGCGCGUCCAUGGUGUGCCCGUGUCGGACAUGCGAGACUUAUAGAAGUGUUGGUUAUACAUAGCUAAUAAUUGAUUAAGGAAAUAAAAAGUAUAAAUAGUCCUCGUACUGUCCAAUAUUCCAAUUUAAUGCUUGAACCUUCUAUUGAACCACUUCAGUACCCGAAAUUUCUCAUAUAUUACACAUCCAUUCCUUGCCAUUGAAAGAAAAUUAUAAUUUUUUUGUGCAAAAUAAUCAUCUUAUGCUUUCUUUGUGCAAAAUAAUCAGCUUACCCUUUCUUUGUGAAAUUAAUGUACUUGUUUCAGUGUUAUUAGGAAGAUUAGAAAGGUCAUUUUGCCUUAAAAAGUUAUACUUCCCCAGUAAACAGGGAUAGAACUGCACUAUAUUAGAAACUUCAUGAACUAAGUUGCAAUACCGAAAGUGCAAGGGGAUUCCUGUUAAUUGAGCAAUCAAAAGUGAACCUAAAUGCAAAAGGUUGAUCAACCUAAAAGCAAUUAUUCCAGAAACUGCAAACAAAUUAAAUAAGUCAUCACCCCAAUCUAUCUAGAAUGGAAAAU
rnacentral:lncRNA from 1 species